AUGAACCUGGCCUUCGACCGUGAGCUCAUCGUCCCGCCCAUAUACUUCGGCCUCAUGGGUGACGGCCAGCCCAUCGGACGCUACGACGACAUGUGGCCGACUGGUGAUCUUCGACCACCUUGGGCUCGGAGUCAAGACGGGGCUGCCCUACAUCUGGCACAGCAAGGCCAGCAACCCGUUCGUGAACCUGAAGGAAAGUUCUACAUCUCGCUCUCGCAGCAGGUCAAGGAGAAGCUCGGCAAGAUCGACCCCUACUUCAUCAAGUUCGCCGACGCCAUGGUCAUCUGGAUCGAGGCCCGGGACAUGCUCAACUCCAAGGACUCCAAGGAGGCCGACGCCAACGGCAAGCUCAAGGGGAAGUAG
rnacentral:rRNA from 1 species